rnacentral:tRNA from 1 species
GCCACGGUGGUCUAGCGGUUAGAACGCUGGCCUUGUAAUCCUGGGGUCUCGGGUUCGAUUCCCGGCGAUGUCC